rnacentral:rRNA from 1 species
GACAGAGGGUGCAAACGUUGUUCGGAAUUACUGGGCGUAAAGCGCGUGUAGGCGGCUAAGUAAGUCGGGCGUGAAAUCCCACGGCUCAACCGUGGAAGUGCACUCGAAACUGCAUAGCUAGAGUCCUGGAGAGGAAGGUGGAAUGCUUGGUGUAGAGGUGAAAUUCGUAGAUAUCAAGCGGAACACCGGUGGCGAAGGCGGCCUUCUGGACAGUGGACUGACGCUGAGACGGCGAAAGCGUGGGGAGCAAACAGGG